UCCGUCGGAGAAGUAGAGGAGGAGCGAUCGAGGAAAUGGCAGAGCAGAGCAAGGGCAGUUUCGGUGGCGCGGCGCAGGCGACGCCGACUCCCGGGAUCGUCGUCAAGCGGAUCGACGUGGGUGAGAAGAUGCGCGGCGACGCCAUUCCUCCCCCGAUCUCGUGCCUUAUUUUUCGUUGGUCUCGAGUCGGCGACGGAUUUGAGAAGCACACAGUGGCAAAGGAAGUAGCCGAGUUCAUCAAGAAGGAAUUUGAUAAGAAGCACGGGCAAAGUUUGACACUGCAUUGUUGGUCGUGACUUCGCACAUACAUGCUGACCCUGCAUGCCUCAGCAAGCUGCUCUGCAUAUCAGGUCCUGCUAUCCGUUUGUAUGCAUCAUAUUUAGGACUGUUCAUGGGCUGAGUUGUGUUGGGAUUUGGUUCAAAUCUGACCUAACCAUAAAUAGUCAAAUCGCUACCAAGGAAAUAGGCAGAGUCGUGGUCCGGUGCUUUUAUGAUUUGUCAGAGAACUGAUGAGCUGAGUUGUUUGUUUGACAAUGAUGUUGAUUUCAGGCAGCUGAUUGUCACUUGUAAAAUCAUUGGUAACCUUGCCGCCAAGUUUCAUCU